rnacentral:rRNA from 1 species
AUUGAACGCUGGCGGCAGGCCUAACACAUGCAAGUCGAGCGGAUGAAGGGAGCUUGCUCCUGGAUUCAGCGGCGGACGGGUGAGUAAUGCCUAGGAAUCUGCCUGGUAGUGGGGGAUAACGUCCGGAUACGGGCGCUAAUACCGCAUACGUCCUGAGGGAGAAAGUGGGGGAGCUUCGGACCUCAUGCUAUCAGAUGAGCCUAGGUCGGAUUAGCUAGUUGGUGGGGUAAAGGCCUACCAAGGCGACGAUCCGUAACUGGUCUGAGAGGAUGAUCAGUCACACUGGAACUGAGACACGGUCCAGACUCCUACGGGAGGCAGCAGUGGGGAAUAUUGGACGAUGGGCGAGAGCCUGAUCCAGCCAUGCCGCGUGUGUGAAGAAGGUCUUCGGAUUGUAAAGCACUUUAAGUUGGGAGGAAGGGCAGUAAGUUAAUACCUUGCUGUUUUGACGUUACCAACAGAAUAAGCACCGGCUAACUUCGUG